rnacentral:tRNA from 1 species
GACUGGAUAGCCUAGUGGUAAAGGCAUCACAUUGACAAUGCUGAGAUCCCAGGCUUGAAUCCUGGUCUAGUCA